GUGCUCACUUGAACAGCACGUAUACUAAGUUUGGAAAGGUACAGAGAUUAGCAUGGCCCCUGCACAAGGAUGGUAUGCAAAUCUGCAAAGCAUUCCAUAUUAAA